GACUGUGAGGCGUGGACUGUGAGGUGUGACUGAGGUGUGACUGUGAGGCGUGGACUGUGAGGUGUGACUGAGGUGUGACUGAGGUGUGACUGUGAGGCGUGGACUGUGAGGUGUGACUGUGAGGCGUGGACUGUGAGGCGUGGACUGUGAGGUGUGACUGUGAGGCGUGGACUGUGAGGUGUGACUGUGAGGUGUGACUGUGAGGUGUGACUGUGAGGCGUGGACUGUGAGGUGUGACUGUGAGGCGUGGACUGUGAGGUGUGACUGUGAGGCGUGGACUGUGAGGUGUGACUGUGAGGUGUGACUGUGGGUGUGAGGUGUGACUGUGAGGCGUGGACUGAGGUGUGACUGUGAGGCGUGGACUGUGAGGUGUGACUGUGAGGUGUGGACUGUGAGGUGUGACUGUGAGGUGUGACUGUGAGGCGUGGACUGUGAGGUGUGACUGUGAGGCGUGGACUGUGAGGUGUGACUGUGAGGUGUGACUGUGGGUGUGAGGUGUGACUGUGAGGCGUGGACUGAGGUGUGACUGUGAGGCGUGGACUGUGAGGUGUGACUGUGAGGCGUGGACUGUGAGGUGUGACUGUGAGGUGUGACUGUGAGGCGUGGACUGUGAGGCGUGGACUGUGAGGCGUGGACUGUGAGGGGUGACUGUGAGGCGUGGACUGUGAGGUGUGACUGUGAGGUGUGACUGUGAGGCGUGGACUGUGAGGUGUGACUGUGAGGUGUGACUGUGAGGCGUGGACUGUGAGGCGUGGACUGUGAGGCGUGGACUGUGAGGCGUGGACUGUGAGGCGUGGACUGUGAGGUGUGGACUGUGAGGUGUGACUGUGAGGUGUGACUGUGAGGCGUGGACUGUGAGGCGUGGACUGUGAGGCGUGGACUGUGAGGUGUGACUGUGAGGCGUGGACUGUGAGGUGUGACUGUGAGGCGUGGACUGUGAGGUGUGACUGUGAGGUGUGGACUGUGAGGUGUGACUGUGAGGCGUGGACUGUGAGGCGUGGACUGUGAGGUGUGACUGUGAGGCGUGGACUGUGAGGUGUGACUGAGGCGUGGACUGUGAGGUGUGACUGUGAGGUGUUACUGUGAGGCGUGGACUGUGAGGUGUGACUGUGAGGCGUGGACUGUGAGGUGUGACUGAGGCGUGGACUGUGAGGUGUGACUGUGAGGUGUGACUGUGAGGUGUGACUGAGGCAUGGACUGUGAGUUGUGAAUGUGAGGUGUGGACUGAGAGUUGUGGACUGUGAGAUAUGACCUGUGUGCAGUGUGACCAGGGGAGAGAGGUGCAUGAGAGAUGGUCGGGCACGGCGGGGCAACCUGGUUCCCCUGGGCGGUAGUCCGGCAGCUGUGCUUCCCCCUUCACUGCAGUGCGUGUUCAGUUGGAAACACGGAGAUUUCACCUUUACUCCCUGGC
rnacentral:lncRNA from 1 species